rnacentral:rRNA from 1 species
UAGGGAAUAUUGGGCAAUGGGCGAAAGCCUGACCCAGCAACGCCGCGUGCACGAUGAAGGCCUUCGGGUCGUAAAGCGCUUUUGAGAGGGACGAGAUAGGACGGUACCUCUGGAAUAAGUCACGGCUAACUACGUGCCAGCAGCCGCGGUAAAACGUAGGUGGCAAGCGUUAUCCGGAUUCACUGGGCGUAAAGCGCGUGCAGGUGGUUUCGUAAGUUGGACGUUAAAUCUCCCGGCCUAACCGGGAGGAGUCGUUCAAUACUGCGGGACUUGAGGGCAGAAGAGGGGGGUGGAAUUGCUGGUGUAGUGGUGAAAUGCGUAGAUAUCAGCAGGAACACCUGUGGCGAAAGCGGCCCCCUGGUCUGCUCCUGACACUCAGACGCGAAAGCUAGGGGAGUGAGCGGGAUUAGAAACCCCGGUAAUCCUAGCCGUAAACGAUGGAUGCUAGGUGUGGGUGGUAUUGACCCCAUCCGUGCCGAAGCCAACGCGUUAAGCAUCCCGCCUGGGGACUACGGCCGCAAGGUUA